UUUUUUUUUUUCUAAUGUUGAUGGUGUAAAUGUAACUCCUUCAUUACAUUUAAGAGUUUUGGUAGUAGAUAUAAAAUCAUUAAAAUAUAGCAAAGUGUGCAAUUUUUAAAGUACUUCAUCCAAAAUACUCAAAGUUGAAUAUUUGCUUGUUUUCUGAUCAUUCUCUCCCAAAGGGUCCUGGAAAAAUUAGUCAGGUUCAAAGUCCUAGGCAUUUUAAUAUUUGGGUUAUCAACCUCCAAGUAUAAUAUUUUAUCAUCUGCCAAUAUUCUGCCCUUUUACAAUGCCAAUAAAAUGAUCUUUGCCAGUAACUGAAGUUGAAUUUUUAGUAGCACCAGUGAUUCUAAAGGGAAAUUAUGACCAAUGAGCAACCUAAUUAGUUCCAUCUUUAGAGUUAUAACAUUAGUAAUUGACCAAUAUAAAUGGCUAAGAAUCCAGGCUCUAAAACUUGAUUGCCUGGGUUGGAAUCUUGCUUUUAUUACUUACUCCCUGAGCAACAUGGGAGAGUUAAUUAAACUCUCUACUUUGCUUUUCCUGUCUAUAAGAUAGGGAUAAUAAUAGUAUCCACUUAGUACUAUGAAGGAUAAUUGAGUUAAUACAUGUAAAAUUCUUAGGAGAAUAUGUAAUACAUAAUGGAAUCUCAAAAAAUGUUAUUAUUUCUAUGGAAUAGUUAAUGUUUUGCCUUACUGAUUCUAUUUUCUUGGUAGUCAAAAGAAAAUAGUUUACAAGUAUUAGUUAAAAUUAAAUUAAAAAAAAUUUUCCUUAGAAAAAAAUACAAACUUCAGAUAGACUAAAGAUUAAAUACAUGAAUGACAAUGGAUCUUAAUCAUUGGAUAGGAAUGGGGGGGUGGGUCACUGCAUUAUUGUAAAGCAGCUAGUACAGUUAACUAGCUUAAUUUUCUUUUAAAAUUUUAAAACCCAACUGUGGGUGGACGAUUUACAGAAAAAAAAUUGCCAAGUCAAUUUAAAAUUCACUUCUCCUCACCCUCACAGAGAAAUUUAUGUCUUAGAAAGUUUUUCAAUUCAGAAUCAGUCUUCUAAAACAAGUGAGCAAACAUAAACACAUCAGCAUAUCAGUGUUUUUAAGUUCAGAUAUAUGCCAAGUAUCCACACACUGGACAUGCCUUACAGAUUAUACUGAACAGUUUUGAUGACCACUCUUUCUGACAGGACAAAAUUUCUCCCUAUAGUGGCACAAAAAUGUGAAAAAAAUCUGGGUAUAAAUUAUUUGGAACAAAGGUGUUCCAAGCAAACAAUAAAUUUCUCAGGGGUUUUACCAAAAUGUGUGGGCUGACUGGUCCUUUACUCCAAAAAGCAUGUACAUGAGCUGAUCAAAUUUGGGAUUUAUAGAGUAAAUAAGUGCAUUUGUGCUUUGAUGAAAUCUUUUAGAAAGAGCCAGAGGACUAACUAAACCGGAUUUAAACCUUUCCUGUGUUUCUGCCAGCUGAAUGGGGACUGAGUACCCUUAAGAAUAAAGCCACAGGCUGAACAGAUGACAAUGAAUGGUGUAAGUAUUAAUACUCAGGGAUAAAUUUAAAGACUUUGAAAGGACAUUAUACACACUCUCACACACUUUGGUAACUGCAAUAAUAUGCUGAAAAAAAAAAAUCCAUCCAAUACUCAAUGGCUUACAACACAGAUGUAUUCCCAACUGCAUAGGUUCCACUGACUUGGGCUGGGCUGGGCUGGGCUGCCUAAGCCACUCUUCUCAGGCUGUGGGUCAGUAAGCCUUAGCCCCAGGCCAUGGGUUGAACUCACAUCUCCACUGCAUGUGUUCAAUGUGAGGUCCAAGCUGAUGGAUCUAGCAAUACCUGGCCAUCCUACAGCAAUCAGUAGAGUACAAAAUGGGGCCAGAACUUUUAAAGCCUCUGCUUAUGACAUGUCUGCUAACAUUUCAUUAGCCAAAGUGAGUCAUAUGACCAAGUCUAACUUUAGUGGGGCAGGUAAAUACUCAAUCCACAUUUGGGUGAGUCUCUGACCCCCUACUGGAUCUUUUCAGCUCCCAUGACUCUAGGACAUAGUCCAUGAGUUCCAUAUCUUCAACAAAUGUUUAGAAAUCCCUGGAAUCAUGAUAUUGAUUUCUGCCCUAGAUCAGGAGUCCUAUGGCCCUCAUCCUUUUGAUACUAAAAAAUAUAACUUGACUCAAAACUAAGCCUCCUCUACAGUUUGUCAACCCUAAUUUUGUGAUUCCAGUUAAUAGCAUAUCCUGGAACGGCUAGCACAGAGUUGGGUUGUGACAAACCCCUCCUCCCCUUCCCCUCCUUGCUAUUUAUCUAUUAUCAAUAGGCCAGCUGCUGAAUUUGCAGAAUACAUGGUGACUGAGACCUCUGGUCUAGGAGACUAUUACAAAUUUGGUACAAGGUAUACCUGGAAAUUUACCGCCUUCUUAGGCACUUUCUUAGCCAACUUUGUUUUCACUUAUUUUACAUGAACCCAAUUUAAUAAAGAAUUACUCAUGAUAAAUUUAAAAUUGUUACAUUUGUCUUUGUAAUACUUAGAUUAGAGUGAGUAUAUAUAGGCAGGUGAGGGAGUUGAGAUUUUAAGCCACUAGCCCAAGAUCCCAAAGUUAAAUCAAAAGAAAGAUGAAGUGAAGGCAAGUUCUUUCUACUCUCAUUUCAAUGAGCCUUUAUAUCUAACUCUCCCUAUAAAUCUGUUUAGUCUGCUAUAGUUAAAACCUGAAAAGUUGCCUGUUUUUCCCUCAAAAGUUAUUUACUUAGUAUAUCCAUGAACUAAAAGAGAAUAAAAGCCUGUUAAGAAGCUUUUUAAUCUAAUAAGAUCUAUAGUCUUAAUAUGAAUCUGAUCAUAUUCAUUAAUGUGCAUUGGAAUAAAACUAAGCAUUUAAUCUUAGACUUCUAUUCUUUUUGAAAUUCCUUCCUGAAACAAUAAUCUUCAUCUUCACUGACUUGUUUCCACAACUAUAAUAAAUGCGUUCAUGCCUAUGAAGAUUUUCUAAUUUUUAAAGAGGGUAAUCAUUGUAUUUAAAAGUCCAUGCCUUGGUAUAUUUUAUCUGUUCAUUUAUCCAUGGAACAACAACUGGCUGAGCACCUUUGGUGAAUAAGCCUAUGCUGGGCAAUACUGUCCUAACAUCAAAGGCAAGAAAAAAUUUCAGCUUUAUGAACAGAGUCUCAUCUGUUACAGAAUAUAUCCUUAGCAUUGAUACAAUUUUGAAAGACUUAGAGUAUUAUUACUUUUGUAACAUUUUAAUCUUUGGACAUUCCCUUUGUCUCCAGCUGGUUUACUGGGAAGUCUACCCCAUAGAUGUUCUGCUAUUGCUCUGGUCAAGUUUUGUUUCAACUACGUUAUGGAGAACAAUUCUCUUCACUUCUUACCAUUGUCGUCGUCUUUAUUUUUUUUUAAUUUUUUUUUAAUUCAGGCUGUCUUUUAAUUAGAAAUGCCAAGAAAACAGAUUUUAUGUGAACCAUAAUGCUCGAUUUCAAGUAGGCUCCCAUUUUUUUCUCCCUACUUUCACAUUACAUUGAACUUUCAACAAUAGUGGGUAUAUUUUUAAAAAUGUAUGCAUAAGCUUAAUAACAUUUAUUACAUGCCUAUUACAUCCUAAAUUACUGUGAAUUACCAUGGUCCCUGCCACAUAAUACAUAGAACUUGCCACACAAUAUUCUUUAAAUAAUUGUGUUGUUGAUUUCAUGAAAGGAUGUACACUUAUAUGGAGUCCCCAAUUUUAUAUACUUUGCUCAUUAUGUUAUAAAAUAUAUUUAGAAUGGCAUUUAAAAAAUUUUCCCAAGUUGUUAGUAAUUGUGAACAAGUGUCUAUUUACAGAGAUAUUUCUUAAAAAAAAAAAAAGCAAUAUAUUCUUCCUGUUAAGGUAUAAAUAUACACCUUUAUUUUCAGCUAAAAUAACAGUAUCAUAUAAUAAAUCAUGUAUUAUGUAAUGCUUUAUGUUUUCAUAGGAGUUUUGGGGGAAUAUAUAUCUUUUUUUUGAAAUUUUAUUUUUUUUUACAGAAUAAAAUACAUGUAUUUAAACACAAUUACAUUCACACAGAUUAUUAUAUCAAGGAUGUUAAACAGAUUAAGUGACUACCUCUGGAGAAGUGGAAUGGAAAAUAUGCUGAGACAAAUAGGAAAUUUAUUCUAUACUUUAUCCCAUUUUGUAUGGCUUUCAUCUUUACUAUUUAGUAUUAUCUAUUACAUUUCAAUUUUUCUUUAAAAAUUAGCAUUAUAUUAAAAUUGUGUAUAUUAUGCAACUAAAAUUUAUAAAGAAGAAAGCCUUAUAUACCAUUAAAUAUUUUAUAUAGCAUAAUAAAAAGAAUAACUUAACUGGUAAGAAUAACAAAAAUAAUACACCCUCUGAAAAUAAGUAAAAUAUAAAAUGCAUAAAUUGGUUAAAAAACAGUGUAACUAUAUAAAUAUGUCCUCACAAUUUGUUACAUCUUAUUGAUUCUUCAAUAAAGGCAUUACACCAUUCUAGGUGAUGUGAUAAACAAGACAUUAUAGACCUUACAUUGUACCAUGGAGAGAAAUGGUUAUUAAUAAUACAAUUGUAGAACUGUAUUAUUUAAUUGUACAGUUGCAUUAUUUAAUUAUAAUUAUCAUAAAUUCUUUGAUGGAGAGGAAAUCAGAAUCAGAUCUAAGAAGACUUCAGCAUUCCAAGAAUGAUGUCAAAUGACCCCCUUCAUGGUGGAUUAUGCACUUAUUUACUAUGAGAUAUAUUUCUUCUCCAGAGAUUCCUUGUCUAUGUAUCAAUUGUAGAUUUUUGGUUUGCAAUUAUUCUGAAGUUUUGAUAUAAGAGUCUAUAUGUAUAUGGGAUUGUUUUAAGUUGUUGAUCUCUUAUUUGCAAGUGCAUCUCCAGUGUCCUGCACUUGUACCCACCUUUUCUCAUGAUUUCUGAUUUUAGUGGUAUGGAUGAUUUCGUAUCUUUACUGUAUAGAUACCUUUAGUGGUGAGCCUUGUCAUUUGUGGCAUUUUGUUUCCUGUUGCUGUCUUUUCUUUUCUGCCUAAAGAAGUUCCUUUAGUAUUUGUUGUAAGGUUGGUUCAGUGUUGCUAAAUUCCCUCAACUUUUUCUUAUCUGUGAAGGUUUUGAUUUCUCCUUCAAAUCUGAAUGAGAGCCUUGCUGGGUAGAGUAAUCUUGGUUGGAGGUUUUUUUCCUUUCAUCACGUUGAGUAUAUCAAGCCACUCCCUUCUGGCCUGCAGAGUUUCUGCUGAAAAAUCUGCCAAUAACCUUAUGGGGGUUCCCUUGUAUGUUACUUGUUUCUUUUCCCUAGCUGCUUUCAAGAUUUUCUCUUUGUCUUUAAUUUUGGUUAGUUUGAUUCAUAUGUGUUUCAGUGUAUUCCUCCCUGGGUUUAUUUUAUAUGGUACUCAUUGUGCUUCCUGGAUUUGAGUGAGUGGUUCCUUUCCUAUGUUAGGGAAGUUUUCAGUUAUUAUCUCAUGGAAUAUUUUUUCUGUCCCCUUCUCUCUGUCUUCUCCUUCUGGCACCCCUAUAAUGCAGAUGUUUGUGCAUUUAAUGGGCUGAUGCCUGCCCACUGGUGGGUGGAGCUGAUUCCUAUCCCUGUUGUGGGUGGGGCUUAGUCUCUGGAUGGGAUUAGAGGCAGCUGUGUGCCUGAGGGGUCUUUAGGUAGCCUGUUUACUGAGGGGUGGGGCUGUGAUCCCACCUGGAUUGUUGUUUGCCCUGGGGCUUCUCAGCAGCUGACUGAUGGGUGGGGCCAGGUUCUCCCAAAAUGGCCACCUCCUGAGAAAGGCACAGCUGCUGAAUAUUCCUGAGAGCUUUGCUUUCAAUGUCCUUCCCUCACAACAAGCCACAUUCACCCCUGUUUUCCCAGGAUGUCCUCCAAGAACUGCAGUCAGGUUUGACCCAGAUUCCUAUGGAGGAGACCUUGCUCUGCCCUGGGACCCAGUGCAUGUGAAAGUCUGUGUGUGCCUUGUAAGAAUGGGGUCUCUGUUUCCCCCAGUCCUGUGGAGCUCCUGUGCACAAGCCCCACUGGCCUUCAAUGCCAGAUGCUCCAGGGGCUCUUUCUCCCAGUGCCAGAUCCCCACACACGAGGGUUUGAUGUGGGGCUCAUAACUCUCACUCCUGUAGAUGAGUCUCUGUGAACCAGUUAGUUUUCAGUCUGUGGAGCUUCCCACCAGGAGGUAUGGGGUUGUUUGUAUUGUGAAAUCACCCCUCCUACCUCUUAAUGUGGCCUCCUAUUUUUCUUCUGGAGUAGGGUAUCUUUUUUAAGGUUUCCGGUCCAUUCAGGUGGAGAUUGCUCAGCCUUUAGUUGUGAAUUUUGUUGUUUUUAGGAGAGAAGUUGAGCUCCAGUCCUUCUAUUUUGCCAUCUUAAUCCUCUCUGCUCACCAUUGUCUUCUUCUUUAAACACCAUCCUUAUCUGAAGUAUCUUUAACAAAACUAAAGAAUUGCUGAUAUGUGAAAAAAUACACUCAUGAAUAUGUUAAUUACAACAUUUUAGUUUGAGUACUUUUACAUUUUCACCCAUGAAAUAUCAAAAAGUAUUAUUACCCUCUUAAAUUUAGAAAAUUUUAAUGUCAUAUUUAUGUAUGUGUGUAUAUGUAUACAAAAUAAUAUUCUUUGAAGACUACUGUUCCUCUAGAAUUCACUAAAAUGCAAUAUAUGGCAUAUUUAGGAACAAAUAUGAAAAACAGAUGACAAUCUCAACCUAUAUAUCUUUUGUAAUGGAAACAUUUGACAUAAAUCAACAUUUCUUUCCUUUUAUUUUCCACCUCUGUAAAUCCAAGCACUAUAAUUUUACAACUUUAUUUUUUAAAAGAACUUUUUAUUUCUCAAAAUAAAUAUUAUGUCUCAUAAUAAUAAAUCUUGCUGGCACUAAAUUCACAUACACUUUUUAAACACUUAAUUUUUUUUUUCUUUGGCUGUGGCAUGUGGAAGUUCCUGGGCUAGGGAUGGAACCAGAACCACAGCAGUGACAACAUCAAAUCCUUAAUGGCCAGGCCACCAGGGAAUUCUCAUGUACACUUGUAAAACAGAAAUUUCAUCAUGAACUAUAGAAGUAUUUCUCAUUCUUUCAUUAAAUUCCUAAAACAAGCAUUCAGAUGGCUUUUGUAUCCUGAGUUAUUAUAUAAUAUGUAUCCCAAUCAUACGAAUUAUUUAUAUUUGAUCAGCUUGGUCUCAAAAAUGGCAAUUUUUAUGCUCCAAACAGUUUAUUUGUCUGGAUCUCCUCCUAGAAUGAGAGCUUUUCAUGGCCAGGCACUGCACCUUAUUCCUGUUUGUAUUAGUUAUAUUCCCUUAAAUCUUUCUACAGAGGUAUCUAGUUUUGGCUCAACCAUUCUUUCUUUCUACACUCCAAAGAAUAGCUCAGUGUUCUUUACAAGAUUAUAACUAUCCAAAAUGGACUGGUCUAGCGUUAAUUUCAAGUUGCUCUUAAAGAGUUAUUACAAGGAAUAAUGAGAAAAUAUAUGAAAUCCUAAAUGCAAUGGCUGGCACAUACUAAGUCUGCAAUACUUUAGUAGCUAUUAUUAUUACUGCUAUGAUAGAAGCAUUUACAAGGUAUAUGCAGAAUUAUACCAAGAGUAUAAGAGGAAUUUAUCAGCUAAGGCUUCCAGGAGGUAUCUCAAAAGAUUGGUUGAGAAUUUUCCCAGAUAUGUGGGGUUCAGAUUAGUGAAGAAGGGUCAUGGCAAAAAGCUAAUAUGGCUAGAAUCCAGGGCUCUGCAGAUGAUGUUGAAAGUGAUAGGGAUGGAGUAGGAUAGUUACACGAGUAGUUGUAGAAGUCCCAAUAAUGGACCAUAGAUGAGAGGAAACCUAGGGGACUUUGGGAGAUCACUGUACGUUAAUAAUUGCUCAAAAGUGCCAUCAGAACAGGCAGGCAUGUUUGACUAGUGGAGGUGCGAGAUAUGCCUCAGGUCAUUGGGUGGAGGAUAGGGUGAGGCCUACAUUCAGGUUCAGACCAAGGACAGAGUUUAAGGACCACCCUCAUGCUGAUUUGAACAAACACCAUGACAGUCCUGAUUUGAUCUUAUAGUCAAUUACCCUCUUAUCAGAUACCAAGAAGGAGCUACUACUCAAAGAAGAGGAGGCAAUUUUAUCCACCCCCACUCCCCUUGGAUUAUAAAACUGUAGCCCACCUAAUCCUCUGGGCAGAGCUUCCUUGUCUGCCUGCUUGCAUCUCUUAGAAGUGUCUUAUCUUAAUUAAUCUAUUUCUGGAGUUCCCACUGUAGCACAGUGAAAACAAUUCAACUAGUAUCUGUAAGGAUGUGAGUUCAAUCCCUGGUCUUGCUCAGUGGGACAGGGAUCCAGCGUUGCCAUAAGCUGUGGUGUAGGUUGCAGAUGAGUCUCAGAUCCCAUGUUGCUGUGGCGUAGGUCAGUAGCUGUAGCUCUGAUUCGACCCCUAGCCUGGGAGCUUCCAUAUGCUGCAGGUGUA
rnacentral:lncRNA from 1 species